CAGAGUGAGAAAUAGCUGCGAAAGCUGCAAAGCGACAACACAGGUGAGAAUGAUCACAAAGAACUUCUGGAAACUGCUGGCUUAGUGGUUCCAACCAUUCCCAGAGACAUGGGAAGCAAGGGUUGAUUUCCAGCUUUUAGCCCCCUUUCCUGUUUGUAUCUCCCCGCUCUGUCCCUCUGUUAUCUGCAGUGUCCACUGCCGUUUCCUCUCUCAGCGAUGGCCCAAACCCCCAACGAACCCCCAAAAUAAAAGACUGUGUCAAAUGUUCAUGUACAAACCAGUACAGUAACAAAACAUGAAGGCAGAAACUGAAGAGGAUCUAACACAGUUCUCUUAGGGACUACUCGAGAAAUAUGCAGAGACAAGCCAAUGAAAUAUAGAUGUUUAAAGAAAUGAAAUAUAGAUAUUUGAUAGAAAUGAUGAGUAACUGGAUUAUCCUCAGAGUCUCUGUGGGCAAACUCCCAUCUCCCCUCAAGAACCCGAGCGAGGGUGAAGAGCUGGUCCGUCGUUCCAUGACCGGGACGAAACCCGCAUUGUUCCUCCUCGAUCCGAGGUUCAACUAUCGAUCUGAACCUUUUUUUCCAUACCCUGGCAUAAGCUUUCCCAGGUAGGCUGAGGAGUGUAAGUCGGACUCGUUUCCAGUAAGGGUUGGACUCCGCCAGGGCUGCCCUUUGUCACCGGUUCUGUUCAUAACCUUUACGGACAGAAUUUCUAGGCGCAGCUGGGGGGUGGAGGGUGUCCAGUUCAGCAGGCAGAGGAUCACGUUGCUGCUUUUUGCAGAUGAUGUGGUGCUUCUAGCUUCGUCGAGCAGUGACCUUCAGCUCUUGUUGGGGCGGUUCGUGGCCGAAUGUGAAGCGGCUGGGAUGCGAAUCAGCACCUCCAAGUCCAAGGCCAUGGUCCUCCUUUUAGAUUGAAAAAGAAAAAGUUAGAUUGCCUUCUCCAGGUCGGAGGAGUGGUCCUGCCUCAAGUGGAGGAGUUCAAAUAUCUCGGGAUCUUGUUAACCAGUGAGGGUAGGAUGGAACGGGAGAUCGACAGGCGGAUCGGAGCGGCAUCAGCAGUGAUGCGGAUGCUUAACCGAUUAGUCGUGGUGAAGGAAGAGCUGAGCCGUAAGGCGAAGCUCUCGAUUUACCGGUCGAUCUACGUGCCGACUCUCACCUAUGGCCAUGAACUGUGGGUAAUGACUGAAAGAACAAGAUCGCGGAUACAAGCGGCCGAAAUGGGUUUCCUUAGCAGGGUGGCUGGGCUCAGCCUUAGAAAUAGGGUAAGGAGCUGGGACACUCGGGAGGCACUCAGAGUAGAACGACUGCUCCUCCACGUCAAGAGGAGUCAGCUGAGGUGGCUCGGGCAUCUGGUUAGGAUACCUUCUGGACGCCUCCUGUUAGAGGUGUUCCAGACAUGUCCCACCGGGAGGAGACCUUGUGGCCGGCCCAGGACCAGGUGGAGGGGUUACAUCUCUUGCCUGGCCUGGGAGCGCCUGGGGUGAGGGCUGUCUGGGCUUCCCUCCUGAAGCUGCUGCCCCCGCGACCCGCACCCGGAUGAAGUGGAAGAAAGCAACGAUGACACUCUGUGGGACUUAACCUCUGCAUUGUUACUUUGUAACAGUGUGACAUUGUAACAUUGUCGAAUACAAUCUGUGAUUCUGGUUUUUACGUUUGAGGUCUUCUGAUCAUUAUCUUGAAGACUCCAAAAGCAGACAACUGGACUGUGUAGAGUUAAGAGGACGUUUAGCCUCUGAUCCAAGAAGCUUCUUCAGUUCUGAACUGAAGAAGCUUCUUGGCCAAGGACAUAAAUCAGAUAUUAAUUUUUGUUUAAUGUUCAACAAGUUAAAUAUUUUGUAUUGUCGUACUAAAUCAUUAUUCAUUUUAUCUUUACAAAAGGGGAUUGCACCAGAGGCCACUAAUAAAAUGGAGGUGUGAAGACAAGUGCCAACGGAACAAGAGAGGACUGGUGUUAAAUGCAAACUGUACUAGAAGAGAGGCUGAAUACAGAGAUCUAAUAAGAGCCUUCAGUGACUGGCGUCACAAAAACUGCCUCCUCCUCAACACCUCAAAGACAAAGGAGAUAGUCAUAGAC
rnacentral:lncRNA from 1 species